UACGUAGGGGGCUAGCGUUGUCCGGAUUUAUUGGGCGUAAAGAGCGUGUAGGCGGCCAGGUAGGUCUGCUGUGAAAACUCGAGGCUCAACCUCGAGACGUCGGCGGAAACCAUCUGGCUAGAGUCCGGAAGAGGAGAGUGGAAUUCCUGGUGUAGCGGUGAAAUGCGCAGAUAUCAGGAAGAACACCCGUGGCGAAGGCGGCCUGCUGGGCAGUAGCUGACGCUGAUGCGCGACGAGCGUGGGGAGCAAACAGG
rnacentral:rRNA from 1 species